CUCUUACCAAACUUAAUUUCCUGUUUACCUGUUUGAUUCCUCCCACAGAUUAUCAACUACCUCAGAGCAGGGUUUUGUUCACCCAGGAAUCUCUUAUGAAACAGAAUAAGUUCUUGGAAAAUACACGUUGGAUAAUGGACAAAAUGGGAGUGUUACAAAUGGCUCCUGAUAACCGCAUGCCAAGUAGCAGGAAAAAAGGGCUGUCACCUACAUUAACCAAAGCCUCGAUUGAAAAAGCCUGACAGCUCAAAAGAUAUCCUAUUCUGGAGGUCAAACCCACAGGAAAUGAAGCAAAAUGCGUUUUAAGGCUGUGCAGAGGAGAGGGUCAAUCAGAGAUGCUGGACAGUCUAUGGAGAGACAACAGAAUUAGCAGUAAGAGCAAGAGGCUGCUAGGAGAACGGAGCGGGCAAAUGUUGCUUGCCAGAGAUGAAGGAUACAAAGACGAGCGUGACACAGUCUGCUCCUUGAGAAGUUCAGAGGCAGCGAGAAGAUGGAGGGGGCAGUACAGAAUAUCUUUUGAACCUUGUUUCUCCAAAGGAAGAUGUUUUCAAAACUAAAUAGAAGAGAAAAAUAGUACUUGUCAAGGAAUCAUACUAUAAAAUGUGAUCACCAAUAGCUAAUUUCUUUUCAGUUGAGUUGAAACAAUGGACUUAUGCAGCAUUUUAGAAAAUACUUAAUUGUGUCAAAAUCCAGAAUCCCAGGAAGUUGCUAAAAACAAGCUUUUAGAGAAAUAGAGAAUCGUAACCCUAACCCUAACCAACAAUGGCAUGAGAUCCUCU